AACGAACGCUGGCGGCAGGCUUAACACAUGCAAGUCGAGCGAAGACUUCGGUCUUAGCGGCGGACGGGUUAGUAACGCGUGGGAACGUGCCUCUCUCUACGGAAUAGUCCUGGGAAACUGGGUUUAAUACCGUAUACGCCCUCUGGGGGAAAGAUUUAUCGGAGAGAGAUCGGCCCGCGUUGGAUUAGGUAGUUGGUGGGGUAAUGGCCUACCACGCCUACGUUCCAUAGCUGGUUUUAGAGGAUGAUCAGCAACACUGGGACUGAGACACGGCCCAGACUCCUACGGGAGGCAGCAGUGGGGAAUCUUAGACAAUGGGCGCAAGCCUGAUCUAGCCAUGCCGCGUGAGUGACGAAGGCCUUAGGGUUGGAAAGCUCUUUUGGUGGAGAAGAUAAUGACUGUAUCCACAGAAUAAGCCCCGGCUAAAUUCGUGCCAGCAGCCGCCGUAA
rnacentral:rRNA from 1 species